CUGAGAUACCUUAUAAAACAGGGGUGGAGGAAUGCUAAAAGCCAAGUUCCAUAGUUUCUCCAAACCACACCACCAAGUAUUUGAAUACAUGAGCCUGUGGGGGAUGUGGCUCAUUCAGAUCACCCACCAUGAUGCUAGAACCAAAUACUUAAGAGUUAGGAUAUUGCCGAAUACCUUUAAUCCCAGCAGAGGCAGGUGGAUUUCUGUGAGUUCAAGGCCAGCCUGGUCUACAAAACAAGUUCCCAGACAGCCAGGGCUGUUACACAGGGCCGUUAUAUGAAGGAGGAGGAGAAGGGAAAGGAGAAGAGGAGGAGGAGGGAUUUUUGUAAAGAGCAUGCAUUUGUUUGCUCAUGGUUCUAGAGGCUAAGAUUACAAAAUCAAGGCACUAGCAGAUUCGGUGCUUGGUAAGGACUACCCUUUCUGCUUCUAAGAUGGUGCCUGAUGGCCGUGUGCUCAAAUGGCAGGAAGGGUGACUACUGGGUCUUCACAUGGUGGAGGCUGACACAGCAACAGACACAGACAGGUUGGGAUCCAGCUCAGUAGCACAGCCUGUGACUAGUGUGCAUCGAGCCCUAGGUUAAUCCCCCCAACACCAAAUAAAUUAGCAAAUGGCAAAAAGGAUCUUUCUAAUUGCCUCCAGCCCUUUUCUAUCAAUGAAGCUGAGCCCCCCCCCCCAAGGCUUACGUUGUGCUCUUGAAGACCCCACUUACUCACACCAUUACACUGGGGAUUUGGUUUCAACAUGAAUUUUUCUAAGGACACAGAUAUUUAAAGCAUAGUGCUAGCAUAGUGAUUAGGACUCCCCCAGUGAUGGGUUGCAUUAUCGGGGCACACAUCUAAACCACGUGGGAGUACAGUUCCAAACAAAGGUGGGGUGCAUCCUGUAAAAAGGAAGGAGGCAGUAGUUGUUGUCUGAAGUUUACUGAUACUGGCAUUCUUUCCCUGGAUGAAGGAAGGAAAAAGACAUGGAAAAUUCCAGUGCUGCACCUGUGCCUAUUUCAAUGGCAUCAGCUUGCUGUCUCAUCCCCAGUGGCAGGGAGCCAGCACAGCUCUCCUUCUCUGCAGUAGUUAACUAGAGCCUGCUCUCAAGUUGAUUCUUUCGGGUAUAUGACCACAGUAACAGAAAGUUGCUUGACACAGUUAUGUAGGCUAGUGGGAUCGUUAGGCAGCCCCUGUUGUAGAAUCCGUGUGCAUCUUCUGUUCUUGUUACCCCUCCAGCUCUCUUUAUGAAUGGACUGAGCAGACUCGGAGAAAGGCAGAUGAAUGCCAUGCACAGAGAGAGAGAGAGAGAGAGAGAGGGUGAGAGAGAGUUGGCCAGCCUGUGUGAUUAUGUAAUCGCUCCUGCCAUUGGCCAGAGGCUCUGGUGAGCACAAACACAGAGGCAUGGGGCUAGGUUCUGAGAGAUCUGUCUGCUUACCCUCUCCCUGAAUCCAGUCUAAGACCUUGCCUAACCAAACCCUAUGACCUUCAGCUUUUGCCAUUUGUCCUGGUACUUUCCAGUCCUGUUUCCUCACAGGCUAUGUAGGUGUCAUGUGCCACCUGGGGGAGUGUCAUGAGAUGAGAAUCUGCAGCUGUGGUAGUCACAAGAGCCUGGACAGUGGAGCUCGUGGGUGGCCCCCUCUGCUGUUAACCAGCUGCCUGGUACCUGGAGCACCUCUCUAAUCUUGUUUCUACACCUCGUCCCUCACUGACCUUGGAAACACUGAAGCCUGGCAGGCAGAAUGUAGAAUUCCAGAUGUAGAACUCUCAGCUCCUGCUCCAGUGCCAUG